CAAGGGCUUCUUUGGAUAUUCAUCCUCUUUACCUGAAAAGAAAGAGAAAGGCUAAGCUCAUCAUUUCAAUCUGGGAUCUCCCUGGAAUUUUACAUUAAUUAUACAAUGCUUUCAUCCAAGUGACUGGUAACAAGUACUGAACUGAGUAAGAACAAAAAUGGAGCACCCUAACUUCUCUAAAAGGUAAAGAACUCUCAAAGGAAAUGGAGGAUGCCCUAUAUAGAAAAAUUAAAUAAAGAAUAUGAACAGGAAACUCAAAGAAGAAAAGAGCAGGAACUACUGUUUAAGAGGAAUAUGGCAAAUACCUCAACUGUAGAAAAACAUUUAGAGGUUAUGGCCUCUUUUGCCUAACACCUCUGAAUAGUGUAAUAUUCUCAGAAAUUCCACAAUGAGCAGUGUAUAUACAGCUUACGUUUCCAGGGAGGCCCUCAGGCCCCCGGGGCAGCGCUGUGGAGGUAGUAACGCUGUGCCUCUCAUGAGGAGGAGAAGCAAGAAGGGGCGGAGAC
rnacentral:lncRNA from 10 species